UACGAAGGGGGCUAGCGUUGUUCGGAAUUACUGGGCGUAAAGCGCGUGUAGGCGGUUGUCCAAGUUGGAUGUGAAAGCCUUGAGCUUAACUCAAGAAAUGCAUUCAGGACUGGAUGACUAGAGGACAGGAGAGGAUAGUGGAAUUCCCAGUGUAGUGGUGAAAUACGUAGAGAUUGGGAAGAACACCAGUGGCGAAGGCGGCUAUCUGGACGGUUUCUGACGCUAAGACGCGAAAGCGUGGGGAGCAAACAGG
rnacentral:rRNA from 1 species